rnacentral:rRNA from 1 species
CAGUAGGGAAUAUUGGUCAAUGGAUGGAAGUCUGAACCAGCCAUGCCGCGUGCAGGAAGAAGGCCUUCUGGGUUGUAAACUGCUUUUGCCAGGGGCUAAAAAGCUCAUGCGUGAGAAAUUGAAAGUACCUGGUGAAUAAGCCACGGCUAACUACGUGCCAGCAGCCGCGGUAAUACGUAGGUGGCAAGCGUUGUCCGGAUUUAUUGGGUUUAAAGGGUGCGUAGGCGGCUUUGUAAGUCAGUGGUGAAAUAUGGCAGCUCAACUGUCAGGGUGCCAUUGAUACUGCGGAGCUUGAGUACAGAUGAGGUAGGCGGAAUUGACGGUGUAGCGGUGAAAUGCUUAGAUAUCGUCAAGAACACCGAUAGCGAAGGCAGCUUACUGGGCUGUAACUGACGCUGAGGCACGAAAGUGUGGGGAUCAAACA